GGGUUGCUAACUCAACGGUAGAGUACUCGGCUUUUAACAUCCGACUAGUUCCGGGUUCGAGUCCCGGGCAACCCAUACGGA
rnacentral:tRNA from 1 species